AAUAAUGAAAUUACUUAAAUUUUAGUUAAUUAAGUUUGUAAGAAAAUCAUUUUUGAAUUUUAGAGUUUUUAUGGGUUACAGAAUGAAUAGCAUGGGUGAUAGUAAAGAGUACUGUGAAGGAAGUUUGAAAUAAUUGAAAUUUGUUUAAGAAAAAGUAGGUUUAUUAGCCGUACCUUUUGUAUCAGGGUUUAUCUAUUAUUACAGUAUUAAUUCUUUUUCUCGAUAUGAGGUGAGCUAAUAGGGUAAAUUGUUAUUGUGGCAUAAAUAUUUAUCAUAUCCUUUUAGUUAUGAAACAUUAUUCGGACUUCAAGGUAUCUAGUUUUUCAAGAAGUGAAUUUAAUUCAGAGAGGAUUUUAUGUUAAUUAAUUAUUUAAUAAUUUGUUUUCUCUUAAUGGUUUGGGAGAUAAGUUCUAGAUCAUAGCUACAUUUAAAUGUAUUUUAUAGGUGAGGUAGAUUUAAGAUUAGUCAUCCAUUAGAGUAUGUUAUAAUACUCCCUUUAUAAAUAUAAUUUUAAUUAAAUUAGGGGCUUUAUUGAAAAGUGAUUUUUAACUUUAGCAAAUUAGUGAUAAUGAUUAAAUAAUUAUAAAUAAUAAGUUUAUUUCUUUUAUUUAGAAAGAUUGAUGUAAGGAAUUCGGCAAAUUAAUGCUCGCCUGUUUAUCAAAAACAUGGCCUUUGGGAUGAAUAAAAGGUCUGACCUGCCCACUGAGAUUUAAAGGGCCGCGGUAUUUUGACCGUGCAAAGGUAGCAUAAUCACUAGUCUUUUAAUUAAAGGCUGGAAUGAAUGGUUGGACGAGGUAUUAACUGUCUUAUUUUAAUCGUAAUUAGAAUUUAACCUUUUAGUGAAAAGGCUGAGAUGAAAUUAGAGGACGAGAAGACCCUAUAGAGCUUUAUAGUUUUAGAUUAUUUUUCUUGAGGGGUAUAAAUUUUAAUUUUAAUACUAUUUUGUUGGGGUGACAAAAAGAUAAAAUAAACUCUUUUUUAUUAAAAUCACGUAUAAGUGAAUUUAUGAUCCAGAAUUUUUGAUUAUAAGACUAAGUUACCUUAGGGAUAACAGCGUAAUCCUUUUUGAGAGUUCUUAUCGAUAAAGGGGGUUGCGACCUCGAUGUUGGAUUAAGGGUAAUCUCGGGUGAAGCCGUUUGAGAUUUGGGUCUGUUCGACCUUUGAAUCCUUACAUGAUCUGAGUUCAGACCGGCGUGAGCCAGGUCGGUUUCUAUCCUUAAUAAAUUUUAUGUUUUAGUACGAAAGGACCAGGCAUUUGAGAUAUUCUUCAAAUAUUGAAACUUAUU
rnacentral:rRNA from 1 species